CUUGCUUCUGGACUGUUGUGAUCGCUUAACCUGAAUGUCAUUCAUGCUGUCCAAAGAAGGAAAGGCUUCAUGGAUAUUUUCAUAGAGUUUGGAUUGCUGAAUGUUUGCAGCCAACCUGUGUUGAUCAGCAUGUCAAAAGUCCAAGAUCCUCUCCAAGAAACUUUUGAGUGUACCCAUACUGGAUAGUAAAAAGUGAAUUGUGGUUUCUGGCUUCUAGAUUAAAAACUGGAAAGAAAAAAUGAAAAAGGAAAACUCACAACAUCUUUAUGCUAAAAUCAAUAACUGGAUGGUAAUACAAAUUUGAAAUUUUAGGUUGAUGAUGAAGUAAGCAGUUCGUUUUUUCAUGGUUUGCACAUCCUCAGAUAUACAAUAGCUCAUAAAAAAUCACUGAACAAGCCUGUGCUUUUUGAAUACUGUGUCAUUUAUUACUAAUUGGAACCACCCACAGUAUUUUGUCACACAAAGGACAAAUGACUUAAUGUUAUUUAUAAUUUCACUCCUGGCACCAAAAAUUGUAAUUUCACUAGGAAAAAAACAACACUAGUAUUCAGGCUUUUUUAAAGCACUCUUUCUACCCUUAUCAUUCCCCUUUAUACCUCAGCAUGGCCUCUGAGCUAAGUUUUGAGAAAGUCCUCAUCUAGAGAACAGCAAUUGGGGUACUCUUUUAACUAUAUUUUCCCAAGAUGCAUAUGGGAGUUUUUAAGGCCCCUUUAUACUAAUAUUAUAGUUUUUUUUUGUUGUUGUUGUUGUUUUUUUUUGUUUGUUUGUUUUGGUUUUUGAGUACCAGGCCUAAAACAGUUGCAGCACAACACGGGCAGAAAGGGGAUUAAAAUAGACAACUCUCUCACGGUAUACUUAAAGCACUAAUGAGAAAAUGUCUUUUGGCAGAGCAUGAUCAGUGGAUCACUGAUUAGGAUAUUCACCCCCAUACCCCCAAACCCACCUGACCCCCUUCCCUUCCCUUCCCUUCCCUUCCCUUCCCUUCCCUUCCCUUCCCUUCCAUGACAGCAUUAAGAAAGAAGAAAUUUAACUUUUCUUCUUG
rnacentral:lncRNA from 1 species